rnacentral:rRNA from 1 species
UACGUAGGGGGCAAGCGUUAUCCGGAUUUACUGGGUGUAAAGGGAGCGUAGACGGCGAUGCAAGUCUGAAGUGAAAGCCCGGGGCUCAACCCCGGGACUGCUUUGGAAACUGUAUGGCUAGAGUGCUGAAGAGGCAAGCGGAAUUCCUAGUGUAGCGGUGAAAUGCGUAGAUAUUAGGAAGAACACCAGUGGCGAAGGCGGCUUGCUGGACAGUAACUGACGUUGAGGCUCGAAAGCGUGGGGAGCAAACAGG